GAUGAAGAACGUAGCGAAAUGCGAUAAGUAAUGUGAAUUGCAGAAUUCAGUGAAUCAUCGAAUCUUUGAACGCACAUUGCGCCCGCUAGUAUUCUGGCGGGCAUGCCUGUCCGAGCGUCAUUUCAACCCUCAAGCCCCCGGGCUUGGUGUUGGGGAUCGGCGAGCCUCCGCGCCCGCCGUCCCCUAAAUCUAGUGGCGGUCUCGCUGUAGCUUCCUCUGCGUAGUAGCACACCUCGCACUGGGAAACAGCGCGGCCACGCCGUUAAACCCCCAACUUCUGAACGUUUGACCUCGGAUCAGGUAGGAAUACCCGCUGACCUUAAGCAUAUCAAUAAGCGGAGGA
rnacentral:misc_RNA from 1 species